rnacentral:rRNA from 1 species
GACGUAGGGGACGAGCGUUGUCCGGAUUCAUUGGGCGUAAAGAGCUCGUAGGCGGCCACUCAAGUCGAAUGUGAAACCUCGAGGCUUAACCUCGAGCCUGCAUUCGAUACUGGGCGGCUAGAGUCUGGUAGGGGGAUCUGGAAUUCCUGGUGUAGCGGUGGAAUGCGCAGAUAUCAGGAGGAACACCGGUGGCGAAGGCGGGAUCCUGGGCCAGUACUGACGCUGAGGAGCGAAAGCGUGGGGAGCAAACAGG